UCGGACCGCCUUGAAUUAUAAUU
rnacentral:siRNA from 1 species